CAAGUACUACUAGAUGGUUGCGCUUGCUUUUUAAAAGUGAGUGAGGAAAGUCCGGACUCCAUAAAGUGGAGCCAACGAGAGUUGGGUGGGAGUGAUCUUACGGAGAAAAGGGCAACAGAAAGAUAUACCGUCCCGCUAACUUAUAGUUAGUGAGAUAAGGGUGAAAUGGUAGUGUAAGAGACUACCGGGUAUCGUAGUAAUACGGUGCUGCGUGGUAACCCCCUCCUGGAGCAAGGUUAAACCGCAUAGACAGAUAAUCAUCGUUAUACAGAAUCCGGCUUACUGUGUGCUUGCGCA
rnacentral:RNase_P_RNA from 1 species